rnacentral:lncRNA from 1 species
CACUACGAACGCCUCAUAGCAAGUAAAGUAACCCUCCGGGGGGCUGUUAGCACAUUCCCCGCGGCAGGGAACCCGGAACUCCACAGCAUCCGGGAUGUGGUAGAACGAUCGCAUCGUCGCGAGAAACUCGUCAGUAGUCCUGCUUGCAUCAUCUUCCUCGACUCCACGAUGGACCAGGACCGGAAACGGCUUCUCCUUGGGAGGGGUC